rnacentral:rRNA from 1 species
GAUGAACGCUGGCGGCGUGCCUAAUACAUGCAAGUCGAGCGAACAGACGAGGAGCUUGCUCUCUUGACGUUAGCGGCGGACGGGUGAGUAACACGUGGAUAACCUACUUAUAUGACUGGGAUAAUUUCGGGAAACCGGAGCCAAUACCGGAUAAUACAAUGAACCGCAUGGUUCAAUAGUGCAAGACGGUUUUCCUGUCUCUUAUAGAUGGAUCCGCGCCGCAUUAGCUAGUUGGUAAGGUAACGGCUUACCAAGGCAACGAUGCGUAGCCGACCUGAGAGGGUGAUCGGCCACACUGGAACUGAGACACGGUCCAGACUCCUACGGGAGGCAGCAGUAGGGAAUCUUCCGCAAUGGGCGAAAGCCUGACGGAGCAACGCCGCGUGAGUGAUGAAGGUCUUCGGAUCGUAAAGCUCUGUUAUUAGGGAAGAACAAAUGUGUAAGUAACUAUGCACGUCUUGACGGUACCUAAUCAGAAAGCCACGGCUAACUACGUG